rnacentral:rRNA from 1 species
GCCACAAAGCUAGCCAAAUACUUCACUAAAAUGAACACCAAUAUAUACCUGCCCACAGCCCAAAACCCUAUAACCAAACCAUUUUUCCCCCCUAGUAUUGGAGAAAGAAAAGGACCUAUGAGCCACAGAAAAAGUACCGCAAGGGAAAGCUGAAAGAGAAGUGAAACAACCCGUCAAAGCACAAAAAAGCAGAGAUUAGCACUCGUACCUUUUGCAUCAUGAUCUAGCUAGCAAAAUCAGGCAAAGAGAACUUUAGUCUGAAACCCCGAAACUAGACGAGCUACCCCAAGACAGCCUAUUAAGGGCAAACCCGUCUCUGUAGCAAAAGAGUGGGAAGAGCUUCGGGUAGGAGUGACAAACCUAACGAGCCUAGUUAUAGCUGGUUGCUUAGGAAAUGAAUUUAGUUCAGCCUCAUGGCCUACUUGAAUCAAACUCAUAAGAACCCCUAAGAAUACAAGUUAGCCAUAAGAGUUAGUCAAAGGAGGUACAGCUCCUUUGAAAAAGGAAACAACCUUAACAGAAGGGUAAGGAUCACAUUAACCAAGGCACUCUGCCACAGUGGGCCUAAAAGCAGCCACCUGCACAAAAAGCGUCAAAGCUUAAACAGAACAUUAAGCCUAUUAUCCCGAUUACAAAUCCCACCCCUCCUGUACUACUAAGCCGCUCUAUACAAAUAUAGAAGCGAUAAUGCUAGAAUGAGUAACAAGAAGGCACGACCUUCUCCCGGCACGCGUGUAAGUCAGAUCGGACUCCCCACUGACAAUUAAAGAACCCAGUUAAAGAGGGCACCACAGACUAAAAACUACCCAAGAAAACCCUGUGCAACAAAUCAUUAACCCUACACAGGAGUGCCACCCAAGGAAAGACUAAAUGAAGAAAGAAGGAACUCGGCAACAAGGGCCCCGCCUGUUUACCAAAAACAUGGCCUCUUGCAAGUCUAGAAUAAGAGGUCUAGCCUGCCCAGUGACUAAAAGUUAAACGGCCGCGGUAUUUUAACCGUGCUAAGGUAGCGUAAUCACUUGUCUUUUAAAUGAAGACCCGUAUGAAAGGCGUCACGAGGGCUCUACUGUCUCCUUCUUCAGGUCAGUGAAAUCGAUCUGUUCGUGCAGAAGCGAGCAUGCUCCCAUAAGACGAGAAGACCCUGUGGAGCUUAAGACACAAGACCACCUGCGCCUAAAAACCUGUCCCACCAAAAGGCCACAAAGCACAGCAAUCCUGGUUUAAAUGUCUUCGGUUGGGGCGACCAUGGGGGAUAAAAAAGCCUCCAAGAAGAAACAGGGAGCCGAUUAAACCGCCUCCUAAGAGCCAAGAGUCACAACUCUAAGCAACAGAAAACUCUGACUAAUAAUGACCCGGAAUACUUCCGACCAGCGAACCAAGUUACCCCAGGGAUAACAGCGCAAUCCUUUCCAAGAGCCCCUAUCGCCGAAAGGGUUUACGACCUCGAUGUUGGAUCAGGACAUCCUAAUGGCGAAAAUUCUAUUAAGGGUUCGUUUGUUCAACGAUUAAAGUCCUACGUGAUCUGAGUUCAGACCGGAGCAAUCCAGGUCGGUUUCUAUCUAUGCUAUUACUCUUCCUAGUACGAAAGGACCGGAAGAAGUGGAGCCUCUACUCAAAGCACGCCCCACCUUCACCUAAUGAAAACAACUAAAAUAGCAAGAAGGAAUAAAACCAAGCCAGAGACAAUGGC